rnacentral:lncRNA from 1 species
AUUAUGAGCACCACUGAGUUUUAUACUCAACGCGUUGAUUUAUCACGCGCAGGUUAAAGACUGUGGUUGCUGCUCGAAGACUAGAAGAGUAGCAUCAGAGCAGAAGUGACUAUUGUGGUAGUAGUAGAUUGAGGUUUAUGUACUUAAGAAUUAUAGCAUGUAUAAGUAUUAUAUUUUCAGAGAUUGUAUUAUUUGAAUUAUAACUUAAGCAUGUAAUUAGUAAUUAUGUUGGUGUCUAUAUUCGGAGAUAAGCAUAAAAUUCAUUAAAUGAUUGAAUAUAAAUUAUUUCAAGAGCGUUGGUA